rnacentral:rRNA from 1 species
ACUAAGCGUACACGGUGGAUGCCCUGGCAGUCAGAGGCGAUGAAGGACGUGCUAAUCUGCGAUAAGCGUCGGUAAGGUGAUAUGAACCGUUAUAACCGGCGAUUUCCGAAUGGGGAAACCCAGUGUGUUUCGACACACUAUCAUUAACUGAAUCCAUAGGUUAAUGAGGCGAACCGGGGGAACUGAAACAUCUAAGUACCCCGAGGAAAAGAAAUCAACCGAGAUUCCCCCAGUAGCGGCGAGCGAACGGGGAGCAGCCCAGAGCCUGAAUCAGUGUGUGUGUUAGUGGAAGCGUCUGGAAAGGCGCGCGAUACAGGGUGACAGCCCCGUACACAAAAAUGCACAUACUGUGAGCUCGAUGAGUAGGGCGGGACACGUGGUAUCCUGUCUGAAUAUGGGGGGACCAUCCUCCAAGGCUAAAUACUCCUGACUGACCGAUAGUGAACCAGUACCGUGAGGGAAAGGCGAAAAGAACCCCGGCGAGGGGAGUGAAAAAGAACCUGAAACCGUGUACGUACAAGCAGUGGGAGCCUCUUUAUGGGGUGACUGCGUACCUUUUGUAUAAUGGGUCAGCGACUUAUAUUCUGUAGCAAGGUUAACCGAAUAGGGGAGCCGAAGGGAAACCGAGUCUUAACUGGGCGUUAAGUUGCAGGGUAUAGACCCGAAACCCGGUGAUCUAGCCAUGGGCAGGUUGAAGGUUGGGUAACACUAACUGGAGGACCGAACCGACUAAUGUUGAAAAAUUAGCGGAUGACUUGUGGCUGGGGGUGAAAGGCCAAUCAAACCGGGAGAUAGCUGGUUCUCCCCGAAAGCUAUUUAGGUAGCGCCUCGUGAAUUCAUCUCCGGGGGUAGAGCACUGUUUCGGCAAGGGGGUCAUCCCGACUUACCAACCCGAUGCAAACUGCGAAUACCGGAGAAUGUUAUCACGGGAGACACACGGCGGGUGCUAACGUCCGUCGUGAAGAGGGAAACAACCCAGACCGCCAGCUAAGGUCCCAAAGUCAUGGUUAAGUGGGAAACGAUGUGGGAAGGCCCAGACAGCCAGGAUGUUGGCUUAGAAGCAGCCAUCAUUUAAAGAAAGCGUAAUAGCUCACUGGUCGAGUCGGCCUGCGCGGAAGAUGUAACGGGGCUAAACCAUGCACCGAAGCUGCGGCAGCGACACUAUGUGUUGUUGGGUAGGGGAGCGUUCUGUAAGCCUGUGAAGGUGUGCUGUGAGGUAUGCUGGAGGUAUCAGAAGUGCGAAUGCUGACAUAAGUAACGAUAAAGCGGGUGAAAAGCCCGCUCGCCGGAAGACCAAGGGUUCCUGUCCAACGUUAAUCGGGGCAGGGUGAGUCGACCCCUAAGGCGAGGCCGAAAGGCGUAGUCGAUGGGAAACAGGUUAAUAUUCCUGUACUUGGUGUUACUGCGAAGGGGGGACGGAGAAGGCUAUGUUGGCCGGGCGACGGUUGUCCCGGUUUAAGCGUGUAGGCUGGUUUUCCAGGCAAAUCCGGAAAAUCAAGGCUGAGGCGUGAUGACGAGGCACUACGGUGCUGAAGCAACAAAUGCCCUGCUUCCAGGAAAAGCCUCUAAGCAUCAGGUAACAUCAAAUCGUACCCCAAACCGACACAGGUGGUCAGGUAGAGAAUACCAAGGCGCUUGAGAGAACUCGGGUGAAGGAACUAGGCAAAAUGGUGCCGUAACUUCGGGAGAAGGCACGCUGAUAUGUAGGUGAAGUCCCUUGCGGAUGGAGCUGAAAUCAGUCGAAGAUACCAGCUGGCUGCAACUGUUUAUUAAAAACACAGCACUGUGCAAACACGAAAGUGGACGUAUACGGUGUGACGCCUGCCCGGUGCCGGAAGGUUAAUUGAUGGGGUUAGCGGUAACGCGAAGCUCUUGAUCGAAGCCCCGGUAAACGGCGGCCGUAACUAUAACGGUCCUAAGGUAGCGAAAUUCCUUGUCGGGUAAGUUCCGACCUGCACGAAUGGCGUAAUGAUGGCCAGGCUGUCUCCACCCGAGACUCAGUGAAAUUGAACUCGCUGUGAAGAUGCAGUGUACCCGCGGCAAGACGGAAAGACCCCGUGAACCUUUACUAUAGCUUGACACUGAACAUUGAGCCUUGAUGUGUAGGAUAGGUGGGAGGCUUUGAAGUGUGGACGCCAGUCUGCAUGGAGCCGACCUUGAAAUACCACCCUUUAAUGUUUGAUGUUCUAACGUUGGCCCCUGAUCGGGGUUGCGGACAGUGUCUGGUGGGUAGUUUGACUGGGGCGGUCUCCUCCUAAAGAGUAACGGAGGAGCACGAAGGUUGGCUAAUCCUGGUCGGACAUCAGGAGGUUAGUGCAAUGGCAUAAGCCAGCUUGACUGCGAGCGUGACGGCGCGAGCAGGUGCGAAAGCAGGUCAUAGUGAUCCGGUGGUUCUGAAUGGAAGGGCCAUCGCUCAACGGAUAAAAGGUACUCCGGGGAUAACAGGCUGAUACCGCCCAAGAGUUCAUAUCGACGGCGGUGUUUGGCACCUCGAUGUCGGCUCAUCACAUCCUGGGGCUGAAGUAGGUCCCAAGGGUAUGGCUGUUCGCCAUUUAAAGUGGUACGCGAGCUGGGUUUAGAACGUCGUGAGACAGUUCGGUCCCUAUCUGCCGUGGGCGCUGGAGAACUGAGGGGGGCUGCUCCUAGUACGAGAGGACCGGAGUGGACGCAUCACUGGUGUUCGGGUUGUCAUGCCAAUGGCACUGCCCGGUAGCUAAAUGCGGAAGAGAUAAGUGCUGAAAGCAUCUAAGCACGAAACUUGCCCCGAGAUGAGUUCUCCCUGACUCCUUGAGAGUCCUGAAGGAACGUUGAAGACGACGACGUUGAUAGGCCGGGUGUGUAAGCGCAGCGAUGCGUUGAGCUAACCGGUACUAAUGAACCGUGAGGCUUAACC